rnacentral:rRNA from 1 species
CGCCUUGCCAGCCCGCUCAGAACUCAAAGGAAUUGACGGGGGCCCGCACAAGCGGAGGAGCAUGUGGUUUAAUUCGAUGAUACGCGAGGAACCUUACCUGGGCUCGAACGUAAGAUGACUGUAGGUGAAAGCUUACAUCUCUUCGGAGCAUUUUACGAGGUGCUGCAUGGUUGUCGUCAGCUCGUGCCGUGAGGUGUCGGGUUAAGUCCCAUAACGAGCGCAACCCCUACCUUUAGUUGCCAUCAGGUUAAGCUGGGGACUCUAAAGGAACUGCCUACGCAAGUAGUGAGGAAGGCGGGGAUGACGUCAAAUCAGCACGGCCCUUACGUCCAGGGCUACACACGUGCUACAAUGGCCGAUACAGAGGGCAGCUACCUGGUGACAGGAUGCAAAUCUCCAAAGUCGGUCUCAGUUCGGAUCGGAGUCUGCAACCCGACUCCGUGAAGUUGGAAUCGCUAGUAAUCGUGGAUCAGCAUGCCACGGUGAAUACGUUCCCGGGCCUU